rnacentral:rRNA from 1 species
GUCCACGCCCUAAACGAUGGGUACUAGACGUCGGGAAGCUUGUCUUCUUGGUGUCGCAGCUAACGCAAUAAGUACCCCGCCUGGGGAGUACGGUCGCAAGAUUAAAACUCAAAGGAAUUGACGGGGGCCCGCACAAGCGGUGGAGCAUGUGGUUCAAUUCGAUGCAACGCGAAAAACCUUACCUGCCCUUGACAUCUGGGGAAUUCCGCAGAGAUGCGGAAGUGCCGCAAGGAACCCCAAGACAGGUGCUGCAUGGCUGUCGU